rnacentral:snRNA from 1 species
GUGCUCACUUCCUCAGCACAUAUACUAAAAUUGGAACUAAAAAGAGAAGAUUAGCAUGGCCCCUGUGCAGGGAUGACACGCAAAUUCGUGAAGCAUUCCAUAUUUUU